UCCCUGGUGGUCCAGUGGCUAAGACUCCAUGCUCCCAAAGCAGGGGGGCCCAGGUUCAAUCCCUGGUCAAGGAA
rnacentral:tRNA from 1 species